rnacentral:rRNA from 1 species
CCUACGGGAGGCAGCAGUGGGGAAUAUUGGGCAAUGGGCGCAAGCCUGACCCAGCAACGCCGCGUGAAGGAAGAAGGCUUUCGGGUUGUAAACUUCUUUUAAGAGGGAAGAGCAGAAGACGGUACCUCUUGAAUAAGCCACGGCUAACUACGUGCCAGCAGCCGCGGUAAUACGUAGGUGGCAAGCGGUGUCCGGAUUUACUGGGUGUAAAGGGCGUGCAGCCGGGAAGACAAGUCAGAUGUGAAAGCCCGCGGCUCAACCGCGGAACUGCAUUUGAAACUGUUUUUCUUGAGUACCGGAGAGGGCAGCGGAAUUCCUUGUGUAGCGGUGAAAUGCGUAGAGAUAAGGAAGAACACCAGUGGCGAAGGCGGAUGACUGGACGGCAACUGACGGUGAGGCGCGAAAGCGUGGGGAGCAAACAGGAUUAGAUACCCCGGUAGUC